rnacentral:lncRNA from 1 species
AAAUACUCAAAGGUACCAGAAGCGUUACAGACUGUGGGCAUAAAAGCCUAAGCAAAGAGCAAAGAGCCGAGCUCCCAGCUCGGAUAGAUUCGCAACCUGCAACACUCAGGUAGAAUGAAGCCAAGUAUAGAGGAAACAACAGAAAACCGAGCUCCCUCUAUGAAAAGGCCCAUAAAUGUAGGAACGUAUAGGAGGAUAAAUGAAGCCAUGCAAGUACAAAUAAGGUACAGGGAUUUACUCCCUCACUAUUCAU